GAUGAACGCUGGCGGCGUGCCUAAUACAUGCAAGUCGAGCGAACAGAUGAGGAGCUUGCUCCUCUGACGUUAGCGGCGGACGGGUGAGUAACACGUGGAUAACCUACCUAUAAGACUGGGAUAACUUCGGGAAACCGGUGCUAAUACCGGAUAAUAUAUUGAACCGCAUGGUUCAAUAGUGAAAGACGGUUUUGCUGUCACUUAUAGAUGGAUCCGCGCCGCAUUAGCUAGUAGGUAAGGUAACGGCUUACCAAGGCAACGAUGCGUAGCCGACCUGAGAGGGUGAUCAGCCACACUGGGACUGAGACACGGUCCAGACUCCUACGGGAGGCAGCAGUAGGGAAUCUUGCGCAAUGGGCGAAAGCCUGAUGGAGCAACGCCGCGUGAGUGAUGAAGGUCUUCGGAUCGUAAAACUCUGUUAUUAGGGAAGAACAAAUGUGUAAGUAACUAUGCACGUCUUGACGGUACCGAAAGAGAAAGCCACGGCUAACUACGUG
rnacentral:rRNA from 1 species